rnacentral:rRNA from 1 species
UAAGCGGAGGAAAAGAAACUAACAAGGAUUCCCCUAGUAACUGCGAGUGAAGCGGGAAAAGCUCAAAUUUGGAAUCUGGUGGUCUUUGGCCAUCCGAGUUGUAAUUUAGAGAAGCGUCUUCCGCGCUGGACCGUGCACAAGUCUCCUGGAAUGGAGCGUCAUAGAGGGUGAGAAUCCCGUCUUUGGCAUGGAAUCCCAGGGCUUCUGUGAUGCGCUCUCGACGAGUCGAGUUGUUUGGGAAUGCCGCUCAAAAUGGGUGGUGAACUCCAUCUAAAGCUAAAUAUUGGCGAGAGACCGAUAGCGAACAAGUACCGUGAGGGAAAGAUGAAAAGCACUUUGGAAAGAGAGUGAAACAGUACGUGAAAUUGUUGAAAGGGAAACGCUUGAAGUCAGUCGCGUCGACCGAGACUCAGCCUUGCCUCGGCUUGGUGUACUUCUCGGCUUGACGGGUCAGCAUCGAUUUCAAUCCUCGGAUAAUGGCAAGGGAAAGGUAGCACCUUUUUAGGUGUGUUAUAGUCCUCUGUCGCAUGCGAGGGUCGGGAUCGAGGAACUCAGCACGCACCUCAGGGUGUCGGGGCCUUGGCCCACGUUUACGUGCUUAGGAUGCUGGCGUAAUGGCUUUAAACGACC